rnacentral:rRNA from 4 species
CAAAUGAAUUGACGGGGGCCCGCACAAGCGGUGGAGCAUGUGGUUUAAUUCGAUGCAACGCGAAGAACCUUACCUGGUCUUGACAUCCACAGAACUUUCCAGAGAUGGAUUGGUGCCUUCGGGAACUGUGAGACAGGUGCUGCAUGGCUGUCGUCAGCUCGUGUUGUGAAAUGUUGGGUUAAGUCCCGCAACGAGCGCAACCCUUAUCCUUUGUUGCCAGCGGUCCGGCCGGGAACUCAAAGGAGACUGCCAGUGAUAAACUGGAGGAAGGUGGGGAUGACGUCAAGUCAUCAUGGCCCUUACGACCAGGGCUACACACGUGCUACAAUGGCGCAUACAAAGAGAAGCGACCUCGCGAGAGCAAGCGGACCUCAUAAAGUGCGUCGUAGUCCGGAUUGGAGUCUGCAACUCGACUCCAUGAAGUCGGAAUCGCUAGUAAUCGUGGAUCAGAAUGCCACGGUGAAUACGUUCCCGGGCCUUGUACACACCGCCCGUCACACCAUGGGAGUGGGUUGCAAAAGAAGUAGGUAGCUUAACCUUCGGGAGGGCGCUUACCACUUUGUGAUUCAUGACUGGGGUGAAGUCGUAACAAGGUAACCGUAGGGGAACCUGCGGUUGGAUCACCUCCUUA